AACUUUCUUGGAGCUCCAGGAAAUUCUGUUUCAAACAUUGCAUCAACGGUCCCAGAGUUUCAUCCUCACAUUCCACCAAUCAGCACCGGGAACGACAUUUGGGCAGCGCCUCCUAUCGCUGGAAGAAACGACGCGUCUACUUCCGUCGCACCAUGGCCGUCAUUUCCCACAACUUCGUGCGAUAACUACGGAAUGUUGCCUGGAGCUGAAUCUUUCAUCAGCAAUCCAUUUAACAACCUGACCACCACUCAUUCUUCAAUGCCCAUGGAAGUAAAAGGAUCAUUUCCGUACACUGGACAGUUUCCAUCAGCAAAUGCUCCUCAGAUGUGUAAAGACUUUGAAGUGUCCUGUAACGCUUUGGUGAACCUUAGACAGAAAUCAAGAGAGCAUGCCGCGUCCCUUGGAUUUUUCUAAAUUCAACAAAACUUGCCGCUUAUUAGUACCCUGUAAAACUUAUUAUUUUGUUCUGUGUAUCUGGACUGCGAUCCUCUAAUGCCAUGGUCAAAUAAGUAAAAUGUUUGUUUUUCCUUGUUUGG